UGAAAAAACUUAUUUGCAUGCAAUUUUUAUGUAACUGUGUGUUUGUGUAUUUGACAGAAUGUAUUUUGUAGAGACGAGGUAAUUGGCAAAAGUAUCAAGAUUAUUCUAUAUAUGAAUUAAUUUGUGUUCAUUUUUUAUGGAAAGGAUUUUUUAAUUGAUAAUGAUUUCCAACAUAGGCAAAAGUUCCUCAAAAUCUGAAUUUGUAAAAAACCACCACAAUGCAAAUCUAUUUGAAGAGUUCUAUAGUAAACAUAUAUCAUUAAGUAUUCAUAUAUAUUGUAUUUAAUAUACUGGCUUAGAAAGGGAAAAAACUAUUUGCAUGCGAUUGAUAUAUAAAACUGUGUUUGUGUGUGUAUUUGACAGAAUGUAUUUUGUAGAGACGAGGUAAUUGGCAAAAGUAUCAAGAUAAUGGUAUAUCUAUAUUGUAUAUAUGAAUUAAUUUGUAUGUUGAAAGGUUUCAAUCAAAUGGUAAUUGUAUAAACUGAAUGAUUUAAUAUGAAAUUAUUAAA
rnacentral:lncRNA from 1 species